rnacentral:rRNA from 1 species
GCCGCAUGCAGGUAAACGGGUGGCGUCAAGCUGCGAGCCCGGAGGAUUCAGCUGACUGGGAUGUAGUGUACGCGCGCCUGGUGCGUCGAGAGGCCGGAGUAAGAUGUGGCGGUCCACUCCUCUGUCGGGAGUGGGGUGCAAUCGGUGUGCGCUUGCGUGUGCCGGUUGUCGCUAUGCAUGCCGGGUGGGUGCCGGAGCAUGCCGCUCGUCUGUUGGGCCACCUAGUCAGUGCAUUUUCUCCGUGGUGAACACCACGACCGGUGGAACUGCCAGUCUGCUGCGAGCAAGUCGUGUCCUCCUGAUGCGUUUCUGUGUUGGGUGGGCGCGAUCGCAGGCGGAGUGGGUGAACGGCGCAGUGGUGCCUCGGUACUGCCGCGUGUUAUCGUGCACUCGCCGUCGUAAGCGGUUUGUGGGUUUGACUAAGUGCUGUGACUACUUGCCCAUUAACCGGCGGCCCGCAGUGGUGAAAGUGACUGUGCAGGGCACCGGAGUUGUCCACCUCAUUCAAUAUGGUAUCCGGCACGCACGUUACAGGUGCUGAGGAAUCGGGGUGCGCCGCUGUCUGCCUGGUGUUGGGCCUGACUGUCGUGUUGCCUGCGCAAAGUGGGUCCGGCGGUGGUUUCGACGCUUGGUAUUGGCAGUGUGCUGCGCAUCUCGGGUGUUUGUGGUACCGGGGGUGAAAUAGUCAGUGGUGCUGUGGUAGACGAGCUACCCGACCCGUCUUGAAACACGGACCAAGGAGUUUAACAUGUGUGCGAGUCAAAGGGUCCUACGAAACCCCUAGGCGCAGUGAAAGUGAAGUUCAUGCUGCACUCUCGCACAUACGCGGUGCAGUGUGGCGAGGUGAGAUCUCGUUGUACUCAUGACACACGCCUCAGACCUUACUGGGCUUUAUUGGGGCAACGAGCGCAUCACCGGCCCGUCCCAUGAUGUGGUCAUAGGUGUACUUGUGCGUGGAGUGGCAACACAAAGCGUGCAAAGCCUGUGCGUCAUCGGGGCGGAGCAUGAGCACACACGUUGAGACCCGAAAGAUGGUGAACUAUGCUUGCGUAGGUUGAAGCCAGAGGAAACUCUGGUGGAGGACCGUAGCGAUUCUGACGUGCAAAUCGAUCGUCAAACGUG